UUAUAAGCGAAUGGUGGAUGCCUUGGGAUAUCAAGGCGAUGAAGGACGCGGCGUGCCUGCGAUAAGCUUCGGGGAGGUGGUUAGCAACCUUUGAUCCGAAGAUGUCCGAAUGGGGUAACCCAACCCGUCGUAAGACGAGUUAGUCCCGAGCGCAAGCGAAGGACUGCAAACCCGGGGAAGUGAACCAUCUCAGUACCCGGAGGAAAAGAAAGCAAAUGCAAUUCCCUUAGUAGCGGCGAGCGAAAAGGGAGAAGCCCAAACCUAAAUUUUUUGCGCAAGUAAAAAAUUUAGGGGUUGCAAGGGAAUAGCGUCGGGGGCUUUACUCCGCGUUUGAAGUAUAGGAGACGCGGAGUGGAGUUUUCGAGGGAGAGCAUUUAGACGAAAGUGUUAGAAGAACUACCCUGGAAAGGGAGGCCAUAGAGGGUAAUAGCCCCGUAUUUAAAAACCUUUUCGUGCUCCUUGCUAUUUUUCUUAAGUACCUUGGGACACGAAUGUCCCUUGGGAAUCAGGCCGUACUAAUCGGCCAAGGCUAAAUACUUGAUAUCACCGAUAGUGAACUAGUACCGUGAGGGAAAGGUGAAAAGCAGCCCGGUGAGGGCAGUGAAAUAGAUACUGAAACCAUUUCGCCUACAAGGAGUCGGAGUCCCGCGUAGCUCGCAAGAGCGAAGUGGGAUGACGGCGUAUUUCUUGCUAAACGAUCCAACGAGUUUAUGUGUACUGCAGUCUAAUCCCGCCUAGCGGGAGAAGGCAUAGCGAAAGCGAGUCUUAAUAGGGCGAACUAUUGCAGUACGGAUAAGACCCGAAGCCAAGCGAGCUUGCCAUGAUCAGGGUGAACUCCGAUUAAAAUCGGAGGGAGGCCCGAACCCGUGAGCUGUUCAAUACUCUGGGAUGAAUUGUGGUAAGAAGCGAAAAACUAAUCGAGCUUGGUCAUAGCUGGUUCUCCUCGAAAUAGCUUUUGGGCUAGCGUCUGCUGGUCGGUUCUGAAGGUAGAGCACUGAAAAGAAUAUUUUGGCGCAAGCCAGGUAUUCUUAUCAAACUUCGAAUGUCAGAAUCUUUAGGCAGGCAGUCUGAACACGGGCGCUAAGGUCCGUGCUCUCAAGGGCAACAGCCCAGAUCUUCAUCUAAGGUCCCCAAAUUAAGCUAAGUGCAAAACUACAAGGAAGUGGAAUUCCUCUGAUAGCUAGAAGGUUAGCUCAGAAGCAGCUAUCCUUUAAAAAGUGCGUAACAGCUUACUAGUUAAGGAAUUCUGCGCCUAAAAUUUAUAGGGGCUAAGCUUAAUACCGAAGAUAAGAAUUUUAUACUUUUGUAUAAAGUGGUAGAGGAGCGUCUUCAUUGCUGUGAAGCCUGCACGUAAGUAAGGGUGGAGCGAUGAGGAGUGCGACUGUUGGAAUGAGUAAUCGCAAUGCCGAUGAAAGCUCGGCACACCGAAAACCCAAGGUUUCCUUGGCAACGACAAUCGUCCAAGGGUGAGGCGGUCCUUAGCCUAGCUUCCGAAAGGAGGCGGGUGAUGGAAAGCCGGUUAAUAUUCCGGCCCUCUUGUCUAUUUUUUAACAGUGACGCAGCAGCGCAGUCUUGUGGGAUUAUUGGAUUUCCCUACUUUGUUCGCAAGAACGGGGGUUCAAGACGAUCUGCUGCCCAGAAAAGCUGUUAACGCUAAAUGACAGGAUCCGUACCGAAAACCGACACAGGUGGGUUGGCGUAAAUGCGCCAAGGUGAACGGGUGAAAGAUCCUAAAGGAACUAAGCAAAAAAGUGGUCGUAAGUUCGCGAUAAGACCUACCCUGAACCCGCAAGGGUGAAGGGUCGCAGCGAAUGUUUCCCUGGCGACUGUUUACCAAAAACACAGGUUUGUGCUAACUCGCAAGAGGAUGUAUACAAGCCGACACCUGACCAGUGCUGGAGUGUUAAAGUUGGGGGUUGUCCCGCUUUGCGGGAUAGCUCAUUGACCUAAGCCCCAGUGAACGUCCGCGGUAACUAUAACCGUGUUAAAGUAGCGUAGCCCCUUGCCUCGUAAGUUGAGGCCCGCAUGAAAGGUGUAACGACUGGGGAACUGUCUCUAGGAUUUGCCCGAUGAAAAUGCAAUACCGGUGAAGAUGCCGGUUACCUGUGGCUAGACGGAAAGACCCCGGGAGCUUUACUGUAGCUUCCUAUUGUUUUAUCGUCUUGGAUGCGUAGCGUAGUGGGUAGGAUUUGAAGUGGUGCUCUCGGGCAUCAUGGAUCCGACAAUGAAACACCCAUCUUUUGAGAUGAUAAAACUAAUCCCGCGCAAGCGGGAGACAGUGGGAGGUGGUCAGUUUUAGUGGGGUGCUAGCCUCCUAAAGAGUAACGGAGGCGUUUAUAAGGUUGACUAUCCACCGAUGGAAAUGGUGGAGAUAGUGUAAAGGCAUAAGUCAGCUUAACUGCGAGACGGAUAUGUCGAGCAGGUGCGAAAGCAGAACUUAGUGAACCGAUGUGUGCUUUUUAGAAAGCGCAAAGAUCAUCAACCAAAAGUUACCCCGGGGAUAACAGGCUAGUAGAGCCCGCGAGUCCAUAUCUACGGCUCUGUUCGGCACAUCGAUGUCGGCUCACCGCAUCCUGGUGGUGAAGAAGCUACCAAGGGUUGGGCUGUUCGCCCAUUAAAGCGGUACGUGAGUUGGGUUCAAACCGUCGUGAGACAGGUUGGUCCCUAUCUACCACAGGCGUCGAGACUUGAAAGGAGUCAUCUCUAGUAAGAAAUUGCUACUUCGCAGAGUAAUCUGCGAUGACAAACCGACUAAUAACGGUGAAACCUUCAUUCAGUAUUUGGUUGCAGUGACUAUGGGAAUUGCAGGUCCAUUAUUCUCAUGGUACAAUUUACUUGAGGACCAGAUAACUAAUAAGGUAAUACCGUGGGAAGUCAAUCUAAAAUAAAUCUUGCAUAUAUUGCCGGUUUUCUUGAUGGCGACGGGAGUCUUAUGCUCCAAAUCAAGAAA
rnacentral:rRNA from 1 species